rnacentral:rRNA from 1 species
AGAGUUUGAUCAUGGCUCAGAACGAACGCUGGCGGCGUGCUUAACACAUGCAAGUCGAGUGCGCGUCUGUAGCAAUACAGAUGGCGCACGGCGCACGGGUGCGUAACACGUGGGCAAUCUGCCCUUCGAUGGGGAAUAACUCCGGGAAACCGAAGCUAAUUCCGCAUAACAUUCCUUGGACUUCGGUUCGAGGAUUCAAAGCCGUAAGGCGUCGAAGGGGGAGCCCGCGCCCGAUUAGCUAGUUGGUGAGGUAACGGCUCACCAAGGCAAUGAUCGGUAGCUGGUCUGAGAGGAUGGCCAGCCACACUGGAACUGAGACACGGUCCAGACUCCUACGGGAGGCAGCAGUGGGGAAUCUUGCGCAAUGGGCGAAAGCCUGACGCAGCGACGCCGCGUGGGGGAUGAAGCAUUUCGGUGUGUAAACCCCUUUCGACUGGGACGAAUGCCUCGCAAGAGGAGUGACGGUACCAGUAGAAGAAGCCCCGGCUAACUACGUGCCAGCAGCCGCGGUAAGACGUAGGGGGCCAGCGUUGUUCGGAAUUACUGGGUGUAAAGGGUUCGUAGGCGGUGUGGCAAGUCGGGAGUGAAAUCUAUGGGCUUAACUCAUAGGCUGCUUCCGAAACUGCUGUGCUUGAGUGUGGGAGAGGCGCGUGGAAUUGCAGGUGUAGCGGUGAAAUGCGUAGAUAUCUGCAGGAACACCCGUGGCGAAAGCGGCGCGCUGGACCACAACUGACGCUGAGGAACGAAAGCUAGGGGAGCAAACAGGAUUAGAUACCCUAGUAGUCC